rnacentral:lncRNA from 1 species
UGAAGUGAACUGAGUGUUCAGAUCCCUUCCUUCCUACAAACCUGUGGAGUCUCAGGGGUCUUGGCAGUGUUAGAAGAUGCCACAGAAGGACGUGAGUGGCGGACACCACAUGUGUUAAUCCAGAUGGACUUGAGUUCUAACUGCUGUUCCUACCACUUACCAUCUAUCUGUAUGGCAUUUGUGGUGGUUUAAAUAAGAAUGAUCCCAUGGACUCAUACAUUAGAAUGCUUAGUUACAAGGGAAUGGCACCAUUUGAAUGGAUUAGAAGGAUUAUGAGGUGUGGCCUUGUUGGAGGAAGUGGGGAUGGACUUGGAAGUUUCAAAAGCCCAUACCAGGCCUGGGCUCAUUCUCUCUGCCUGUAGACAAGGAUGUGACUCUCAGCUACAUCUCCUGAACCAUGCCUACUAUGCCUUCAACCAUGCUGCCUGGCAUGAUGAUAAAGGACUAAGCUUCUAAAACUGUAAGCAAGCCCAAAUUAAAUGUUUUCUCUUAUACAA